CUGAAUCUAUGAUUAUAUGACGUGCCUCGUUGUACUAUGGUUAUUUUGCAACACCCUGUUCUAGGCAAGAAACAGGUUUUACAUUUGCUUACCAGUUGUCAGUGGAACAACUGUAUAUAUGUUGCAGCCGGACUUAUAAUGUUCAUCUAUUUCUUGUAGUGCUCCUUGGAUUCUAUGAUUCACCCCUUGUACUCUUUCCUUUUGUGCUCAUUGCUGCAGAAUGGUAUGACAAAAAUUGCCGCACAACUGCUGUUGGGAACUUUGGCUGUGCUUUUCAGCUCACCAUGGCUGCUAAGAAAUUAAGAUGUGCUUUGCUUAUAAAAAGUAUUCAGACACAAUUUAUAGUUGCUGUUUGUAGAUGGAUUUUGUAGAUUCAGCUGUUGACAUAUUUUUAUCUGAAAGGUGUUUUAUUUUUGUCUGAAAGGAGUAUACACUAUACAGGUGUUGAUUACACUAAUAUUAGAUCAUGCCAUACCAUGAAAUUAAAUUGUGUAGAAUGAUCAUCGGCCAGAGAUUGCAGUCAAGAAUCAGUAACUCAAAUUUGUACUACUGUUGAUGUAAGGCAAUAGUUGGCAGGGAGUUCAGAAUAGUAGCUGCAACUUGGAACAUAGUCCAGACUGACCACUUUGUGAGAGUGAUCCAUGGAAUGGCCCUACUACUCGGGGGCUUGGUGACUUCUUCGGGUCCUGCUUCUGAGCUACAACAUCAAUAAUGGCCCGGAUUCUCAACUGGCCUUUCGACAGAUGUUAUAAGGCUCCGUCAAUACCUUCUUUCAACUAUGGGGAUAGUGAUCUCGACGACUGACAAAUGUUAUAAGGUUUCCUGUUUCCUCUCUAGUAUUCUGUUUUGUUGAUUCGGCACUGCCUUGACUUCAUUCCAGGCAAGAAAUUGGUUGACGCUAUAUUAGGUCACAUGGCUUAUUCCGGACUUGACAUCAGUUUUGCUUGAUGCUCUGCUGAUGACCAGCGAGAACAUGUUUUAGAUUCGCUCAACCGGUGGCCUGUGGAAAUGUUGUAUGUCAUGGCCAGGGAGGGAUCAGAACAGGGUGUGUGUUUCAUCAAUUUUUGGAAUGCUUCCUUGUGUGUGCGCUUCAACCACUUGUCCUAUUUGUUUUUUUAGUUUGUUCUCUGUGGAUUUCUGGGCUGUUACUGAAGCAUGGUUUAACACAGUUUGUAGCACACUUGGCCUUACAUCUGUUUUACUUGUAUACGUACAGAGGUACUACAUUGUAUGCUGUUGGGUGGACACACGGGUUUUUGUAUUUGAAAGAAACAUUUGGCAUUCUACUAGGUUGACAUGCUGGUUAAA